GUACUGCCUGCUAAUAACAACUAAAACUUUCCUCACUGGACCCCUGACUCAGUGCUCAUGCCAGGACUAUUGCCCUGAUUUGAUAGCAGCUAUUGAAGGAAAUAAAAAGGACAGCUUUGGAGCAGUCUCGUCAGGCAGCAUGAUGACUCUUGGCAGCAGGAGAACCAUUUUGCCUUUCUGGAAACUGCUGGUCAGACCCAGGGUCUCAACAAACAAAGUACCAUUUUUUCCCUCAUAGCUGGCUGUCAGGGACUCAUGGGAAGGGUCCCCUCAGGAGGGAGUCAAUUUUGCCCUCUCAGAGGAAGAAUUACCCACAGCCCAAACGAGAAGUGGCAGUAGGUAAAGAAGGCUGGUGAUUUUAGGAGCAGCUCUGUUCGCUUUGGAAGCGGAGGGCACAGUGUUGAGAGGGUCUCUGGCAUCCCAGUGGGAAGCAAAUAAAGCAGAGCUCACACGCCAGCUGAGACUAAGACAAGGCACUGCAUGGAUCUCUGGUCAAGAACAGAAGAGCUGCAUCUUGGAAGAAAGGUGCUGCUGCUCUCAGGAUGUGCCCCAGCAAGGUGAGCAGAUAGGGGUUGGGGCCUUUUCCAAAGUGACAGGGAAGUGAAAUUAU
rnacentral:lncRNA from 1 species